rnacentral:ncRNA from 1 species
ACACAUUAAGAAAUAUAGAAAUAUUGUCUUUGCGUUAACAAAAAACUCAGGUAUGUGUUGGAUGGACUACAAAUAUUUAGGGGGAAAAUAAAGCUUGAAGUCAAUCUCUCCAUAUAACUUAGUUGUCUGCGGCGUCGUAUCUUGUUCUUGUUUUGUGUUCAAAUUGGGUAUUAAUUUAAAAUGAGUGAUUUAUUUGUAUGAUUUUGUCAUCAUUUUUAUUGCAAUUAACACCGGAUGUGAAUUGUACUGAAUGCAGAUUAACAUUGGUUAUUGUAACGCAGAUUUGUUUUACUGCACCCAAGUCAGCCAAGACCUCCAUUUACCACUGCAUGGUUGUUCCGUACGAGUAAGUUGAUUAACACGUAAACCAUUUUAGAUCGUCGACAGUGCUUGCAUAGGAUGCUGUACAGCGUCUUGUUAUGGUGACAGUGGAUUUUAUCAAGGAUGCUGAAUGAUUACUAGCCAGCCCUUGAAGAAUGAUAUAUGAGUAAAUGAUCUGCAGUCCAGCUUCAUUUUAGUUUAAGUGGAGGGUUGUUCGACCUCGACCAGAAGAUAAAUAGAAGAAAUUGACGUUCACGGAUAAUAUGAAGUAUGCUAACGCAAGAUAUAAUAUCAACAACACCUAUAGUAUUCGUUCAGCGUAGACCGGGGGCAUAGAAAAACACGAUAGUUGAUCGUCAAAAUUAAGGAAUAUAUUUCGGGACCAAAACGGAGUGCGAGAGGAUUGCUAGCCUCCGUAAAGCACCACCCUUAUUGUGGUGUCCGGAACGCUCCCAUUGGCCCUUGAAAAUCCAAGCCAGGCAGUAAAAUUUUCAUGCCAGGCCGUACCCAUAUCCGCAGCAGGUCUCCAAGGUGAAUAGCCUCUGGCAGUCGAACAAGGUAGGUAAGGGAAGUCGGCAAAUUGGAUCCGUAACUUCGGGAGAAGAGUUGGCUCUGGAGGCCGAGUCAGACAAGCCGAGAUCAGAUACGUGUCUGUUCAUUUGGAGGCUGGUUUCUUUGCUGUUUGCGUGCUUCGGUGCGCAUUUUAGUGGAGUUACUGGACUCUGACCGCGAUCGAUCGUGGGCGGUUUCAGCUUUUAGUGUUGUAUGGACAGCAGCGCGCGUGGACUUGCUCUGCGUUGCGUCAAGCGUCUGUGUUUCUAUUGUUUGGCGCGCGACGGCUUACUCAGAACUGACAAGGACCAAGGGAAUCCGACUGUCUAAUUAAAACAAAGCAUUGCGAUGUCCGCUGACCAGUUAUGGCGCAAUGUGAUCUCCGCCCAGAGCUCUGAAUGUCAAAGUAAAUAAAUCCAGCCAAGUGCGAGGAUGCGUGACUGGGAGCUGUCAGCUAGACAAGUCAGCUUAAAGAGUCAGGGUCAGCAUCCAAUGUUCAGUGAUGAGUGCUAUGGCCAAUAAUUUUGGGGAAUUAUUUAACACUACAAACUUUUCUGACAGAAUAUCUCCCAAUUAUAUUAUGAGGGUCAGCAGUAUGUUCGAGAGGCUUGCGUUGGGUGAACUAUCAGUAAUAACUUAUUCACGGGAUAGGGAUGCGUUAUUAGGAGAGCACACGCUGUUUUCUAAGUCACUGGUUUUUCUACGAACCUGCUAUUUAAGGUUUUGGCUAAUUAUUAUUAAACAUCAUACAUUAGAAGGAAAUAAACGAAUACCAGAGAAAACAAGUGCAAAAAUGUCACUAAAUUCGAAGGCUCCAUGAUAUAUAAAUAGUGGCAAUGCACACUUUAAAUCCCGAACUCUGUAUGCAAAGGGAGUUUGUGCAGUCAUUAAAUCUAUAAUACCCCUGAUCCGUCUUAACACUUGAUACGUAAUUUUAGCUGUAUCUUUUUCUGCCCUCACGUGCUAUCAAAUUUCUACCCGUAUUACCGCUGUUAUUAACUUGAACUUCGCUCAGUUUUAGCUCCAAUCUACUUAAUCCUGUAAAUUAUAUUGCGUCAUUCAAUUGACUUUAUUGGUUUUGUUCAAGUUUCUACCCAGCUAAGAUUUUUAAAUUAGGUAAUCUACUGUCUGAAAUUUACAAUUCCAAUAGCGCAUCCCUGGAAAUAAACCUUUUGUGGCUGAGAAAAUUUGCUGUAUACAUGCGAUUUUGUGGCCUGGGAAAGAUAUAACUGAAAAGAGUGACUUCACUGAACGUCUUUCCUUUUAUAUUAUAAUCAUGGAAGAAAGCACAAUUAAUUGUAACGAUAUCAAACGGGAUAUCCGGUUAGUUGCACGUCAGGUUUGUUAAAGAUAAGAGUUAGGUUAGGGCUAAGGGCUGGUUAAGGUAGGUCCUAGUGUGGUGAGAGCAGGCUGCUAGCCGAUUGGUUGGCACUAAUCUACGUUAAGGUCUA